GCCCCAGUGGCCUAAUGGAUAAGGCACUGGCCUCCUAAGCCAGGGAUUGUGGGUCCCAUCUGGGGUA
rfam:Xenopus tropicalis strain Nigerian Chr03_contig_3521, whole genome shotgun sequence.